UUUAAUGAAUUUAUUUGCAAAUGAUGGUGGAAAAUAAGUAUUGCCUAAAUGGUCCGCUGGAAUAACGUAUUGAGAAUGGAGUCGUAUUUAAAAUGCUGAAUCAUAGAAGAGACAGUUACCUAAAUCUAAUGAAUUCUAAAUAAUAACGGAGAGAUAAUUACGAUAGAGUUGUGCCCAUCUAAAUGUUUUUAUUCUUAUGGAUUGACUGACAUACGUUUUACAUUUUGGAGUAGAGAAAGUUGGAAAGUUUGCUUUUACUCUUACGGUAGAAUUAAAGCAGAACUCAGUUUGAGUAGGGGGUAUAUUUUUGCCAGGCAGGAAUAAGAGAGUUUGUUACAGUGUUGCCAACUCAUUUUCAGGGUAAGUUGCUGGAGGCAGGUUGAUUUGUAGCUAAAAGACGUUGUGAUAUCAUUGCGUGAUAACGUAGAAUACACAAUAACAUUACUCAAAUUGAUUUGACAGUUGUUCAGGUACAGACCACUCUUUUCUGUACUUCUGGCAGUACAAUUUUGAUUGAGAGAUGUUGAUUGAUGUAAGUUCUGUUCAAGAUCAAACAUUUGUGACCAACUGUAUUCAUUGGGUUUGGCUUGUCGAACCCGUUCUACUGCUGCUGCAGUCAGCCAACAAUGAUUUGCAAUUCGCUGAAAUUGCUGCUGCCUGGGCACGGGCUGAGCGCCUGCUGCUGACGUCGCUCACAAUGCACUUUUGCAGCCAGGCAAUGAUGUUGUGACUGAGGGUGUGACAGAGAAAAUAGUGUCAUUUAGAGGGAAAAUGCGUGCAUUAUAGCUUUGAGUCACUUUUCAAAAGUUGCUAAAAGUUCCAAAUACAUUUUUAAAAGUAGCUACAUUUGUCAUGGUAGUCUGAAAAUAUGCUAAAUCUAGCAACAAAAUUGCUAGGUGGGCAUCACUGUUUGGUGGUGCGCGCUGGGCUAUAUUUGGCUGUAUGGGAUUCAGGUCUGAAUAGUUGAAUCGUAAAAGUUUUGUGAUAGUUCCCGUUUAUUGAUUUUUGGUUUGAUUGUUUAGGUAACACCAGUGAAUUUGAACAGGAAGUUAAUGUAUUCUAAACAUUAUAAUCUGUUUACAUUACAUGGAACCAUGUCAGGUCGGCAAAGUGGAUUGCAGGUUGAGCUAAUUUUAUUUUAAAGGGACAGUGCACAUUAAUCACAGUUGUGGGUGUCUAAUGGCAGGGUAUUCCUAUCAAGCAUUUUGAGAGACGAUUUGCAGACAGACCGAAUGGGUUUUAAUGUUGCAAAGCAAGCUUUGGCUAAACUAGUCAGGUAGUAGGAAUAGAUUUCAUAGAUUUAAAGUAAAGAAUUGUAUCCGAGGGUAGCGCAUGCUCAAUUAAUUACAUAUAAACAUUGAGAACAUUUAAAACUAAUGAUUGGAGGGAGUACAAUGGAAUUAGAAUGCUGACAAAGUGGUUUUCCUGGGAAAAGGAGGCUUCGUUGUCUCUCUUUGGAAAUGUUUUCCGGGGCUAUAAUCUUGAAGGGAGCGAGUGAGAUAGAGGCAUGUUUCUACCAAAAUUGAAAAGGCCUGGAUAUGUUUUGUUUGUUUUUAGCCUUAGGGUUUGAGGAGAUUUCAAUUUGUCCUAGAGACGAAAUCUUAAAGGGGUACACGCACUGGAAGUUUUAUUUUCUGAGUUUUAAUUAAACACGUGAAUUCUUUAGGUAAAGGGAAUGUUCUGGCAACCUGGGAUACAAAAUGUAGAAAAUGGUUGAUGGUUUUUCUUUGAUUUGUAUAAUAUAGUAUGAAACACAACUAUAAAAGGGUGGUAUGACCUUUGACCUCUAUCCUGGCUUUCCUUUGUGGUCUGAUCAGCCUCAUGGGAGGGCCAUUUGGAUAAUGAAUUUAAGGUAAUUUGUGAUACUGAUUUUAAGGUAAAUUGAGUAAUUGAUAAUUAUGAACAAGUUUAUAGUUCUUUGACAUAGUUGUGAGUUGAACUAAUGAGAAGAAAGAAAUGGCAUAGCCUUGGACUAAUGGUAGACUCAUGUUAGGUAUUUAGAACCUAAUCCAGGCCAACAGGACAGGGAUAUAUGGCAUCUGUGGUGAUUCAGGAUUAUUGAGAACAUCGAGAUAACCUUAAUCAACCUAUGUAAUUACUUUAGAGAUGGCCACCAUAGACAUGGAUUUUAGAAAUAUCACCUGAGUUCAGACAGUGAGACAUUUAGUCAAUAUUUGGAAACACCCCAUAUUUGAUAGUGACUGUUAUGAGAAAGAGCAGACAGAUAGGAGGAAGGGCAGACGGAGAAGCCCUCCCUGCACUGCUGAGACCUUGAUGGUUUGGGAGCAGAGAGGAGAGGGGGGGGGCUGUUACUGAGUGGAGACAAAAGGGACCUGACACUGAACCAUUGCCUAGAAAUUAUUCGGCACAACAGGCCGAAAUAGUAGCAUUGACUAGUGCCUGUGAAAGCAGCACAGAUAAAUCUUAAAGUAGAUAAGACUCAUGACAGAGAAUUGUUACAGGAUAGACAUGAACGAACGCCCCAGGGAGAAUUGGACAUGUAGAGAAUGAAAGGGGCGGUCCUACAAGAUAAUGUCAGACAUAAGGAUAAUUUACUAAUCUUACCUAAGUCAUUGUUUAGAUAUGCGGCAAUGUAUAAUAAACUAAUAAAGCAUUUUUUAUAAAGUGUUCCCAACUUAUUUGUCGGAAACGAUUAUGGUAACUGGAAUAUUAGGUCAAGAUAUUAUCCCUAGAGUUGGUUUACUAGGAUCGAUUUCUUUAAAUAACGGAUGACAGUUUAGCUAAUCAGGUAGGACAAAUAGAAGGCCAGAGUUAGGGACCAGAACAAGUACAAAUAGAAGUUGAAGAUAUACUAGCAGACCACAUGAGAAGACUGUUUGUUAACCAAACCAUAUGUCCAAGAUUUUAUGCUCUACAGGUGAAUUACAGGAGAAGGUGAUUUACUCAACCCAGUCCCUGAGGAGAAUAGAUGGGAAGCAGCCCCGUUGGGUGGGGCCAUACCAAGUACUCCUGGUGACAGCCUUCGCAGUGAGAAUAGCUGAAAGAGCUACCGGGGUUCAUAUCACACAUUGCGAGAGGGUAAGACACACUGACACUGUCGAACAAUCACAGAGUUAGGAGAAUACCAAUAGGGUUCGGGAGUUACCUCUCCAACGAAGAUUCCCUGACCCCGCCCUAUCCUCCCUGUGUGCGAUCCUAGAAGUGAAAGUGUGGGCUGGCCUCUAACUGAGGAUAUGUUCUCCGGGAAAGGGUGGGGCUUUACAGGAGUGCUGAUUGGUCUGAGCUGUCUUAUUGUGGGCGCCAUCUUCCUAAUACACCAUGAUCCAUCCGAGAAUGCAGAAGGUGGUAACUUGACCCAUAGUGUAGAUGGUGAGGAUUUUGUAUUAACCAAGUAUAAGAGAUCACUUGAUCUGGGUAAACAGGAAGUGAGAGUGGAGAUCAGGAAGGAUGUCUCAGUUGAGUUCUAUGUAGACCAAAUAGGGUCUCUGACCCCGUGGCAGUCUAGGACUAUGAGCCAUUAUGGAAGAUAUCUGUGCAGGUCCCCGUGUAGUUCAUGGAAACAGGUCAUAGCUCACACCGAGAGAGAGGGCUAUAUAAAUCCACAUACCCAGUAUGGAAGAAGGUGGAGUAUAGUGAUGGUGAGGGUUUUUGACUGUAAUCCGGAGCAAGGGAAAUAUUGCGUAAAGGUACGAAUUACCAUUAAAAAUGUAAAGGAAGAGGAUCUCGGGUUAUGGUAUGUUGGAUUUGAUCAGGUUUCGGUUGAUACCCUAGUGCCAUUCCGGGUAGAAGAGGUUAGGGCAGGUGAUAGCUCUAUAGUCAGCCAGAAUACAAGCAGAGCCCCUGACAAAACAGAUACUGACCGUGGAGUCGUCCAGAGCCAAGGGCCGGUGUGGAUAGUUCAGACGAAAGAUCUUAAGGAAGUGAUUGAGGUGGAAACUGGUUAUGAGGAUUCUAACCUAUGGUUAUAAUGGAUUCAGUAUACAGCCAGAUCAGUAGCGAAAGAAGAAUGUUAUGCCUGCGCCACAGCAAAACCUCAGUUGACAACCAUUCCCUUUCCAUUUGAUGGAAUUGAUGCACCCAGGGUAAUGGCCUAUAUGGUAAAGCUGUUCAUGAGGGCAGGGAAGCCGGACAAUGACAGUUGCAUUGAUCUGCAUUAUCUGUAUCCCCAUGUGCCCAUUACAUCCAGACUUCCCCCUUUCACAGUUACAGGAGGACAUUAAUUAUUGUAUGGCUCGAUACAUCACACACGGAUGGGACGUAGGGGAAGUAAGAACAUGCAAUAGGACAGAGAACGUUACACCUGACAAGACAAUGAGGGACCACCCUGACUGGGUGGUUGAGUUCCGAGGACUUUAGUAAGAUAAAAAGUCCUAGAGCGGAUGUCUGGUGGGUGUGUGGAGGUAUGAAGCUGUGGCCCCACCUGCCUACAAAUUGGACCAGUGCAGUGCAGUUAGGCAUGCCCUUCACCCUUAUCAAACGCAAAGACCUUGGGCCAGGCAGAAGAGAAAGAAGGAGUGCCCCGUCAGGAUCUUUUGACAAUAGAGUUUACAUUGAUAGCAUUGGGGUUCCAAGGGGGGUACCUGAUGAGUUCUGGAUUGGAAUCAAGCAUCUUAUGGUGGUAACAGCUGCAACUAGUUUGAUGGUAUGGUAGAAUAGAAUAGCCUUGGAUAUGUUACUGGCUGAAAUGGUGGUGGGUGUAUGAGGUUCGGAGCAGAAUGUUGUACUUUCAUCCCCGAUAACACAGCUCCAGAUGGAUCAGUGACCAAAGCCCUGGCUGGUUUAACCACAUUAGCUCACGAAUUGGCAGAGAACUCUGGGGUAUAUAAUGCUCUAACAAAUUGGUUUGAUAGUGGGUUUGGGAAAUGGAAAAAUGUCAUAAUCACUGUGUGGUGGGCAACUUUCACCUGUAUGAGUGUUUUGGUUCUGUGUGGAGGUUGUUUGAUUCCGUGUAUGAGAGGUUUGGUUACCAGGACUCUGGAGAGGUCAAUGACGCAACAGAUUGUGAGGUACGGACCGAUUCCGAGCUCCGGCCAGUGGGAUGACAAAUACAGGCCUCCAGGCCUAGGAGAUGGCUCCGUUUCUUUUAACUACGAGGAGCCAAUGGAGCCAACAGGAAGUGUUAGGAUACCUAAUACAAGGAACUGUGGCAGACAACGUAUGCCCACUGUGAAUCUGAUAACAGGGAAGGAGGUCUCCCCACCCAGAGAGGGAAGAAACCGUUGGGCUUAAUAAGCAAUGUAUUGGUCUGGAUUAUUCUUGUAUACAAUUGAUGUAUCAGUGUGUAUUAUUUAGACAUUAAGGGAGGAUUGUUAAUGGGAUUUAUCUGUUAAUUGAAUGAUUAGAAUAUUCCACCCUGAAACCAUAGAAUUGUAUGGAAUUGAUAUGAAUGUAUACAAUUAUAAUCAAUACAUGUGUAGUUCUAGUCAGAAUUAGGGUAAAACAAUAUAGCUAAUGUUUAUGUCUUCAUGGUAUUUUAAAGACAGACUGUCUGAGCAAAAUUCGGCGCCGACCUGACUAGAGAUUUGGGAGAGAACGGGGAGUACGUCUCAAGGUCUCCCUAAUCUCUGAUGGCUGGGUAGUGAGACAGUAUGUGCGUAGGAUACCUUCUGUUAGUGUGAAGGUGUGUGCGUAGCAGGAUAAUGUUAGUGUGAAUGUGUGUGUGUAUGGUUGUGUGAGUGUGUGUGCGUGAGAAGUCAGUAUAAAAUUAAUUGUUUUGUAUUCUUGACUUUAGAACAUUCCCGUGAAUAAACAUUUGACAAUUGUA